GAUGAACGCUGGCGGCGUGCCUAAUACAUGCAAGUCGAGCGAACGGACGAGAAGCUUGCUUCUCUGAUGUUAGCGGCGGACGGGUGAGUAACACGUGGAUAACCUACCUAUAAGACUGGGGUAACUUCGGGAAACCGGAGCUAAUACCGGAUGAUAUUUUGAACCGCAUGGUUCAAAAGUGAAAGACGGUCUUGCUGUCACUUAUAGAUGGAUCAGCGCUGCAUUAGCUAGUUGGUAAGGUAACGGCUUACCAAGGCAACGAUGCAUAGCCGACCUGAGAGGGUGAUCGGCCACACUGGAACUGAGACACGGUCCAGACUCCUACGGGAGGCAGCAGUAGGGAAUCUUCCGCAAUGGGCGAAAGCCUGACGGAGCAACGCCGCGUGAGUGAUGAAGGUCUUCGGAUCGUAAAACUCUGUUAUUAGGGAAGAACAUAUGUGUAAGUAACUGUGCACAUCUUGACGGUACCUAAUCAGAAAGCCACGGCUAACUACGUG
rnacentral:rRNA from 1 species